GCCCCCCUCCUCUUGGAAGCUUCCUUUGCCUUUCUCGGGUACAGACUGUGAGCCCGCCGGGGUCCGAUUCAUCAGCCUAACACGUGGCACAUGGCAGGUUCUCUGAGGUGGGAGAGGCUGGGGUAGGAAGGGUCAGGCCCGCAGGCCCCUCCCCGGGCUCAGGGACACCCAUUUGCCUUCUAGCCAGAGCCUCCUGGAGACCAGAGCCCCGUGGGAGGCAGCCUCGAGUCUCUCAGACUUUCAGGGAAGCUGGGAGGUGGUGUUUUCUGGGACAGGUCGGUCCUUGUGGAGAUCCCAGGUCACACUGGGAGGUGGGCCCCGCCCAGGGCUUGGAGCCAAGUCCUCUUAGCAAUCAGCCACCCAGACCUUCCUUGUCCUGCCCUUCAAGCUUUCCCAUCUGGGAAAUAUGGGGUUACAGGACCCCAGAGCUUUGGAGAUCUUCCAGAAGGAAAUGGGAACAGGGAGGAACGGUGGGACCCUUGUUCCCCAGGUGUGGUCAGACAGAGGCCCUGCAGCCCCAAAGCAGUGUGAUCUAGAGCCCAGCCUAGUUGGGGGAAGUCAGGCCAGUGCAAGGUGGGCUGGACGCUGUAGCCUGGCUGAGAAAGCCAUGAGUGCCCUGCCUGCAGGCCAAGAACCAGGGGCCUUGUACUUGAGCUGAACAGGCCUGAAGCUUUGCGGGCAGGCGUAUGCUUCCCGAUCUCCGCACACUCGAGACUGAAGGCAGAAUAUAAUCUCAAAGCAAGCCCCUGGGAUAGUACCAGGCAGGCAAGGCGGCAGCUCUCCAGAUCCCUCUACUGCACAGGUGCAUUAAAAGGGGAUGGACAGCUGCCUCCACGUGGGCUGGGGAACCCAGAGAGGACCGAGAUAUUGCCUCAAAGAUGUCUUUCAUCCCCACUGACGGCUGCCCACGUUCCCCAUGGGAGCUUCAUCCUUUAACUAAAUCUGGGCCCUAUUAGAAUGGGCCUUCAAGCAGCCAGACACAGCUGAGUCCAACCACAGCCCAAGCUGUCUCAGAUACCUUUGGAACACAUCCUUCCAUUUGCACAUCCUUUUUGUUGUUGAGUCACUAAGUCAUGUCCGACACUUUGCGUCCCUAUGGAC
ensembl:lncRNA